UUAGUAAUUCCAGGCUCAUAUGUCUUGCCCGUGUUAAAGAGACUAUACAGGAAUGAGUAAGACUACACUCCACAGUGAGCUAUAUAUCACUUAGUAUGGUUCAUUACUAUCUUGUGGCCUACAUU
rnacentral:snoRNA from 1 species